CUGAUGUUGCAGCUUCACGGAAGAUGGAAAGCCUCAUGAUCAAUACAGACUGGAAGCUGUGAUAUGCUAUGAAAAGGAACUGUUUAAGGGCAUCGUCUUUGGGUACGCUUUAACAAUUUUGAUAAAGUCGUCCUCCAGGUUACAGGAAAAGAUGUACCUCAAUACAUAACAUCAUUCGAAGAAGCCGGCCUGCGCCAACUACUACGUCAAAACAUUAAGAAUUCUGGCUACAUAAAACCAACACCUGUUCAGAAAGCUUCAGUUGCAGUUAUUCUUGCCAAAAGAGAUUUAAUUGCUUGUGCUGUCACGGGCUCCGGCAAAACGGCGGCGUACUUGGUACCGGUUAUGAACAUAUUGUUAGAACAAGGUGUUGCUGGUGCGCCUCAUGCCAUGGGGCAAAAGCCAGAAGUUGUAAUUGUCGCACCCACUCGUGAAUUGGGCGUUCAAAUUGACCGCGAGGCGUGUAAAUUCUCCUACAGUUCGGUUUUAAAGUCUGUGAUUAUAUAUGGAGGAACUCUCACGAGCCAUCAGCGGUCAAAUCUUCAAGCUGGGUGCAAUAUUU